rnacentral:rRNA from 1 species
GAUGAACGCUGGCGGCGUGCUUAACACAUGCAAGUCGAACGAAGCGCUUAAACGGAUUUCUUCGGAAUGAAGUUUUUGCGACUGAGUGGCGGACGGGUGAGUAACGCGUGGGUAACCUGCCUCAUACAGGGGGAUAACAGUUAGAAAUGACUGCUAAUACCGCAUAAGCGCACAGUGCUGCAUGGCACAGUGUGAAAAACUCCGGUGGUAUGAGAUGGACCCGCGUCUGAUUAGCUAGUUGGUGAGGUAACGGCCCACCAAGGCGACGAUCAGUAGCCGACCUGAGAGGGUGACCGGCCACAUUGGGACUGAGACACGGCCCAA